rnacentral:rRNA from 1 species
AUUGAACGCUGGCGGCAUGCUUUACACAUGCAAGUCGAACGGUAACAGGCCGCAAGGUGCUGACGAGUGGCGCACGGGUGCGUAAUGCAUCGGAACGUGCCCAGUCGUGGGGGAUAACUACUCGAAAGAGUAGCUAAUACCGAAUACGAUCUAUGGAUGAAAGCGGGGGACCGUAAGGCCUCGCGCGAUUGGAGCGGCCGAUGUCAGAUUAGGUAGUUGGUGGGGUAAAGGCUCACCAAGCCAACGAUCUGUAGCUGGUCUGAGAGGACGACCAGCCACACUGGGACUGAGACACGGCCCAGACUCCUACGGGAGGCAGCAGUGGGGAAUUUUGGACAAUGGGCGCAAGCCUGAUCCAGCAAUGCCGCGUGCAGGAAGAAGGCCUUCGGGUUGUAAACUGCUUUUGUACGGAACGAAACGGCUCUGGUUAAUACCCGGGGCUAAUGACGGUACCGUAAGAAUAAGCACCGGCUAACUACGUG